ensembl:snoRNA SNORD33 Small nucleolar RNA Z195/SNORD33/SNORD32 family
CGGCGCGGUGAUGAGCCUCUUCGGCUGUUGAGUCUCACGACCGUGAGAGCUGCCUCAUGCACUACCAGCUGAGCGCCG